rnacentral:rRNA from 1 species
UGCGGCAGCGACGCUUAUGCGUUGUUGGGUAGGGGAGCGUUCUGUAAGCCUGCGAAGGUGGCCUGUGAGGGUUGCUGGAGGUAUCAGAAGUGCGAAUGCUGACAUAAGUAACGAUAAAGCGGGUGAAAAGCCCGCUCGCCGGAAGACCAAGGGUUCCUGUCCAACGUUAAUCGGGGCAGGGUGAGUCGACCCCUAAGGCGAGGCCGAAAGGCGUAGUCGAUGGGAAACGGGUUAAUAUUCCCGUACUUGGUGUUACUGCGAAGGGGGGACGGAGAAGGCUAUGUUGGCCGGGCGACGGUUGUCCCGGUUUAAGCGUGUAGGUGUGUGUUCCAGGUAAAUCCGGUUCACUUUAACACUGAGGCGUGACGACGAGGCACUACGGUGCUGAAGCAACAAAUGCCCUGCUUCCAGGAAAAGCCUCUAAGCAUCAGGUAACAUCAAAUCGUACCCCAAACCGACACAGGUGGUCAGGUAGAGAAUACCAAGGCGCUUGAGAGAACUCGGGUGAAGGAACUAGGCAAAAUGGUGCCGUAACUUCGGGAGAAGGCACGCUGACACGUAGGUGAAGUGAUUUACUCAUGGAGCUGAAGUCAGUCGAAGAUACCAGCUGGCUGCAACUGUUUAUUAAAAACACAGCACUGUGCAAACACGAAAGUGGACGUAUACGGUGUGACGCCUGCCCGGUGCCGGAAGGUUAAUUGAUGGGGUCAGCGCAAGCGAAGCUCCUGAUCGAAGCCCCGGUAAACGGCGGCCGUAACUAUAACGGUCCUAAGGUAGCGAAAUUCCUUGUCGGGUAAGUUCCGACCUGCACGAAUGGCGUAAUGAUGGCCAGGCUGUCUCCACCCGAGACUCAGUGAAAUUGAACUCGCUGUGAAGAUGCAGUGUACCCGCGGCAAGACGGAAAGACCCCGUGAACCUUUACUAUAGCUUGACACUGAACAUUGAGCCUUGAUGUGUAGGAUAGGUGGGAGGCUUUGAAGUGUGGACGCCAGUCUGCAUGGAGCCGACCUUGAAAUACCACCCUUUAAUGUUUGAUGUUCUAACGUGGACCCGUUACCCGGGUUGCGGACAGUGUCUGGUGGGUAGUUUGACUGGGGCGGUCUCCUCCUAAAGAGUAACGGAGGAGCACGAAGGUUGGCUAAUCCUGGUCGGACAUCAGGAGGUUAGUGCAAUGGCAUAAGCCAGCUUGACUGCGAGCGUGACGGCGCGAGCAGGUGCGAAAGCAGGUCAUAGUGAUCCGGUGGUUCUGAAUGGAAGGGCCAUCGCUCAACGGAUAAAAGGUACUCCGGGGAUAACAGGCUGAUACCGCCCAAGAGUUCAUAUCGACGGCGGUGUUUGGCACCUCGAUGUCGGCUCAUCACAUCCUGGGGCUGAAGUAGGUCCCAAGGGUAUGGCUGUUCGCCAUUUAAAGUGGUACGCGAGCUGGGUUUAGAACGUCGUGAGACAGUUCGGUCCCUAUCUGCCGUGGGCGCUGGAGAACUGAGGGGGGCUGCUCCUAGUACGAGAGGACCGGAGUGGACGCAUCACUGGUGUUCGGGUUGUCAUGCCAAUGGCACUGCCCGGUAGCUAAAUGCGGAAGAGAUAAGUGCUGAAAGCAUCUAAGCACGAAACUUGCCCCGAG